GCCAGUAGACAACCGAUAGUAGCUGAUGUCUUAGACAAAAUGGGGAAAAAAACUCCUGAGCUUUUGAAGUAUAUAAGAAACAUGCUCGCAGAUACAAGGAAGAUGGUGACACUCACCGAACAUGGCAGACUCACAACACACGAGCAUCAAAACAGAAUAUAACAACAACCCUACCAGCAGAGUACAGAACAAGACCACACCACAAAAUCAGACUAACACCAAGAGAUCAAGAAGAUAGCGCCACGAUCAGAUGGCCACCUCCUGUCUUCCAAGACAUUUUUGUUCUCCUUGAGCAGCUUGAUGCAACACGGCCUUGAUUAGUCGACCCCCAUAGGCAUUUGAUUCCAAACCCUCCACAAAAUCCAGGUUACACAUCCCAAACCCAACACCAUGAUUAAUCACCAGGUUCCCCUCCCUGGUGAAACCAACUCAUAGAAGAAAGUUCAAUGGAAACCCAAACAAAUAUUUCUUUUAAGCUAGACCACAAAUCAAGAUCUGUGAUUAGCAUUCUCCUUCACUUCACGGAAAGAAAAUUAAUCAUUUCCUGGCCGGUGUCUAUAUGCCAACUUGAACUGCUAUCGGAAUGCCGUCUUUUAGUGCUAUGGGGCAAGCCCACAAGAUCUUAUUUGGGAGGCAAUUUGGCCUUCCGAACAUCCAUGUUCCUGGAAUGAACCAGACCACCAAAAGUAAAUUCUUCUGCAUAGAGGAUUAGAUCAUGUUUUAGGAAGCCCCGACAAAUACCAUACACCAGUUGAAUUUCCUGCAAUUCGAGCAAAUCCCACUACUGAACUUCAACCUUUCCCAAACACCUUAGUUUCCAGUAACCUCAGUGUCAGUAGCAACCGAUGUAUUCUUCUACAGUAAAGCCAUCGUACAGAUGCUGAUAUCCACGGUGCUUUGUCCCCUCGAGAUGUCCUGCAGAAUGUGUCAGGAGAGCACAAAUACCACAGAUUAGAGUUACUAAUAGGAAUCAUAUCUAUUUGAACCAUGUUAUAGUUAUCCGAAUGCUCCAACCACAAACUUUAAGAUAAGUUUUCAAAAUGACCGCAUGUAUUUUUGCAAAAUCAAUUUAACCAAAUUCUUUCCUAAUUAUGUAUGGUACUUACUCUUCAUGGAAGAAUUAUGUGCUACAAGAAAUAUCAAAGCCACGAAAAAUGUUUUUGUUGGAAUUAAACCAAAGAAAAGUAUGUGUAGCUAGUACUAUGUCGGAAACAAAUCUAACAACUAUUUCGGACCCAAAAUAUAGGCCGGUUUACAACUUUCUAUGCACUUUGCCUAAACACUUCCCUGAAACCCCAACCCAAUUACUCUCAUGAAUACGCUAUCUUGAUACCAGUACAGCCCAGGGAGAUGGUCAUUUCAGCUUAUUUCCCUUAACUCUUGUGGCUGUAGGUUGUCAAUUGCCUCCCAGGGAGCCUUGGGUGCUACCAGAUGUGGAGCUUUCUUGGUCGUCGUCAUCAGCCUCGAUGAAGAAGAGUCGCGCACACCGCUGACCCUGAACAUAAAUCUCAUCACAGUUGAAGAAAAGGCCUUGGCUGCGACGUUCUUCUAACUCAGCUGGAGUGAAGCGCCAAACCUGCCGUGGCGGGGUUGGCUCUGGAAUGGUCGACAACAGAAUAAGUGGUAGUGGCGCUGGCGGGGAAGGUAUUGUAGCUGCGUUGGCCGCGGGAAGAUUGGAGGGGCACAAGGGCCCUGUAGGACCAGAGGGCUGGUGUGAUGGCAUUGUUGUCGAGAAAUGCUUCUGCUCAUAGGCCUUGGCGAAGGAGAUGGCAGUAUGUUGGUAAGAUGGCCACCGAAGCUCGACGUCAAUGUGAAGACCAUCAGGCAGCCCUGCUGUGUACAGAAGCCGUUGUUGGGACGGUGUUAAUGGCUCAUUGUUGUGGCACAUGAGCAAUAGAAACCUGCUGGUGUAGUCGGCAACCAAGGAAGUGAACGGCAGACGUGCCAACUCACCCGAAGGAUUGGCGCGAAGUGACGGCCCAAACUAAACAUGGGAAGCUUCCUUGAACUGCUCCCAUGUUGGCAUGCCAAAGUCGCCCUCGAGAUGUAAGUACCAGAACUGAGUGUCAUUGGUGAGGUGGUAGGCUGCAGCUCAGACCUUGUCAGCCUCCUGCUCGCACCUAUUUAGCGAACCAAGAGGAUUGACCGAACCAGCAUAUGUCGCGAAGCCGAGCUUGUGGAAGCAAGGCACGCCUGAACCAGAACCUAAUCCGAGGUGAUUGUUAAGUAGGGGCAGAAGGGAGGUGAUGGGCGAGGUGGGUCCAUAGAUGGGUUGUGGAGGGGGGUGCAGCCAUAACGUCACGAAAUCGGUUGGCAGGUGGAGGCAUGAAGGCGGUAGAGGCGGCGGCGGCGAUGGCCACGCUGGAGAAGGGGGCACCGGAGGUGCUGCUGGCGAGGGGAAGCACCAGGUCGCUAGGGUGGAGGGCCGGGGGCCCAGAGGUGGCGUCAUGGGCAGCUGUUGCAGUCAUGUUAUCUGAAGGUGGGGGCAGGGCCGGCAGCCGUUGCUCGAGUGUCGUCAAGCGCUGCACCAGCCCGUCGAGGAGCACCUGGUCCUCCCCUCGUUGGAGCGUGAAGGUCUCCAAUUGCUUCGUGGUGAUCUUCAUCUGCCCCACAGCCUCGAUUUCUUUGCCCGCCAUCGAGAUGGAUCUCAUACCAAAUUGGAGGAAUCUACUAUGACCUAACCCUAAUUACUCAAAAGUAGAUAAAAGUAAACGAAAAUAUUCUUCUCUGCUUUAUUGAAAGGGGUCGGCCCCUUUAUAUAAUAGACAAGACUUGACCAACAAGUCGGUAACUCUAUUCAAGCUCUAACACGGUCUCAAAAACUGACUCGACUCUUUCCUAACAAAGAUGCUUAAUCAACUAAGACACUAAUUAAGGGGUAAGACUCCACGUUUGAUGGGCUGGUCCACAUAACAUGCAUAAUUGGGAUCUCAAAAAGAAACAUGCAUAACUGCCAUAUAGGCGCUAUGGCAGUAAUCUACGACAAGUGAUGUUGUUGCGAACCUUAAAACAACUAGUGCAAAAAAUCAGUCUUCAGAACAGCUAGUUUAUUGCACAAGAAACAAUCAUGAUUGCAUUCCCUGGUUUGACUUGCUUUACAAGAAGGAUGGCAAAGCAUAUCAACAACAUAAAGUAACUAUCGACUGCUAAAAACACAAAGGAAGUUUGCAGUAGCAACCUUACUACCUCAUAUGCUUGGUGG
rnacentral:lncRNA from 1 species